GAUGAACGCUAGCGGGAGGCUUAACACAUGCAAGUCGAGGGGCAGCACGAGGUAGCAAUACUUUGGUGGCGACCGGCGCACGGGUGAGUAACGCGUAUGCAACCUACCCUGUACAGGGGGAUAACCCGGAGAAAUUCGGACUAAUACCCCAUAAAGAUAUUUAGAGGCAUCUUUGAAUAUUUAAAGUUCCGGCGGUACGGGAUGGGCAUGCGUAACAUUAGCUAGUUGGUAAGGUAACGGCUUACCAAGGCAACGAUGUUUAGGGGUCCUGAGAGGGUGAUCCCACACACUGGUACGGAGCCACGGACCAGACUCCUACGGGAGGCAGCAGUGAGGAAUAUUGGUCAAUGGGCGCAAGCCUGAACCAGCCAUCCCGCGUGAAGGAAGAAUGCGCUAUGCGUUGUAAACUUCUUUUCCAGGGGAAUAAAAUUUUGUACGUGUACGGAAUUGAAGGAACCCUGGGAAUAAGCAUCGGCUAACUCCGUGCCAGCCGCCGCCGUAAGAC
rnacentral:rRNA from 1 species